AAAUUGAAGAGUUUGAUCAUGGCUCAGAUUGAACGCUGGCGGCAGGCCUAACACAUGCAAGUCGAACGGUAACAGGAAGCAGCUUGCUGCUUUGCUGACGAGUGGCGGACGGGUGAGUAAUGUCUGGGAAACUGCCUGAUGGAGGGGGAUAACUACUGGAAACGGUGGCUAAUACCGCAUAACGUCGCAAGACCAAAGAGGGGGACCUUCGGGCCUCUUGCCAUCAGAUGUGCCCAGAUGGGAUUAGCUGGUUGGUGAGGUAACGGCUCACCAAGGCGACGAUCCCUAGCUGGUCUGAGAGGAUGACCAGCCACACUGGAACUGAGACACGGUCCAGACUCCUACGGGAGGCAGCAGUGGGGAAUAUUGCACAAUGGGCGCAAGCCUGAUGCAGCCAUGCCGCGUGUAUGAAGAAGGCCUUCGGGUUGUAAAGUACUUUCAGCGGGGAGGAAGGUGUUGUGGUUAAUAACCACAGCAAUUGACG
rnacentral:rRNA from 1 species